CCUACGGGAGGCUGCAGUGGGGAAUAUUGGGCAAUGGGCGCAAGCCUGACCCAGCAACGCCGCGUGAAGGAAGAAGGCUUUCGGGUUGUAAACUUCUUUUAAGAGGGAAGAGCAGAAGACGGUACCUCUUGAAUAAGCCACGGCUAACUACGUGCCAGCAGCCGCGGUAAUACGUAGGUGGCAAGCGUUGUCCGGAAUUACUGGGUGUAAAGGGCGUGCAGCCGGGAAGACAAGUCAGAUGUGAAAUCCCGCGGCUCAACCGCAGAACUGCAUUUGAAACUGUUUUUCUUGAGUACCGGAGAGGUCAUCGGAAUUCCUUGUGUAGCGGUGAAAUGCGUAGAUAUAAGGAAGAACACCAGUGGCGAAGGCGGAUGUCUGGACGGCAACUGACGGUGAGGCGCGAAAGCGUGGGGAGCGAACAGGAUUAGAUACCCCGGUAGUC
rnacentral:rRNA from 1 species